rnacentral:rRNA from 3 species
UACGUAGGGGGCGAGCGUUGUCCGGAAUCAUUGGGCGUAAAGAGCGUGUAGGCGGCUUGGCAAGUCUCGCGUGAAAUCCUGCGGCUCAACCGCAGGCCUGCGUGGGAUACUGCCUCGCUAGAGUCCGGAAGAGGAGAGUGGAAUUCCUGGUGUAGCGGUGGAAUGCGCAGAUAUCAGGAAGAACACCCGUGGCGAAGGCGGCUCUCUGGGACGGUACUGACGCUGAGACGCGAAAGCGUGGGGAGCGAACAGG